GUCUCAUUGGUCUAGUUGGUUAUGACGUCGGUCUCAUAUUAGACUGUAUGAUCCACCCUCAGGGUGUGGUUAUCCGAAGGUCGCCAGUUCGACUCUGGCAUGGGACA